rnacentral:rRNA from 1 species
AUUGAACGCUGGCGGCAGGCCUAACACAUGCAAGUCGAGCGGAUGAAGGGAGCUUGCUCCUGGAUUCAGCGGCGGACGGGUGAGUAAUGCCUAGGAAUCUGCCUGGUAGUGGGGGAUAACGUCCGGAAACGGGCGCUAAUACCGCAUACGUCCUGAGGGAGAAAGUGGGGGAUCUUCGGACCUCACGCUAUCAGAUGAGCCUAGGUCGGAUUAGCUAGUUGGUGGGGUAAAGGCCUACCAAGGCGACGAUCCGUAACUGGUCUGAGAGGAUGAUCAGUCACACUGGAACUGAGACACGGUCCAGACUCCUACGGGAGGCAGCAGUGGGGAAUAUUGGACAAUGGGCGAAAGCCUGAUCCAGCCAUGCCGCGUGUGUGAAGAAGGUCUUCGGAUUGUAAAGCACUUUAAGUUGGGAGGAAGGGAAGUAAGUUAAUACCUUGCUGUUUUGACGUUACCAACAGAAUAAGCACCGGCUAACUCCGUG